AUGCCAGAGGCAGUCUCCUGGAUGCAUUUGUUCUGUGCAGCCCUGUUCCAUCUACUACUGCAUAAUGAACCACCCCAAGAUCAGUGGCUUGAAACAAUGACACAUCAUUUAUUUUGCUCACAUAUCCACAGUCUGGUCAAAGCCAGGGGGGACAGCUUGUCUCUGCUCAACACAGUGUCCUCUGGGGUGGCUCAAAGGACAGGGGUGACUCGACGGCUAGGGGACUGGAAUCACCCAAAACCUCACUCGAUCUCACAGCUAGUGUUGAUGCUGACUGCGUUCGGGGACCUCAGCUUGGAUUGUUGGUCUCUCCCUGUGGCUUCUUGGCUUCCUCAUAGCGUGGUGGCAGGGUUCUAAGGGUGAGUAUCCUGAGGGAACAGGGAAGGAGGGCAUGCAUUUUUAGGACCUAGUCUCAGAAGUCACACGUCUUCACGUCUUCUUCAUUCUGGUGGUUGGGGCAGUCAUGAAUUUUGGAUCAGGUUCAAGGGAAGAGAGUAUCAACCCCACUACCGGAAGUGUGGUCACUGGAGUGUCAUUGUCACCUUGGAGAAGAGGCCGUGGGGUGGGCGAUACUGUGGUGGCUCUAUGCAUCUGCUCGGGCUGCCUGGCGCACAUCUUUGAGAUGGGACACAGCCACGCAGAAGUGUAGCUGACAGCGCUUGAAGACACAGUGGGGUCAGCCUCAUAGGGGAGACAGAAACAAUGCGACACAGGGCUUCCAGGGAGGAAGGUGUUUUCUGGAGUGGAAGGAGUGAUCAGCUUUAUUAGAUAACUCUGAAGUUUAAUCAGAGUUGGGCAUGAAGUCUGGCUGGACUGUGCCCAGAGCGAGAUUCUGGUUGGGGGUGAGGUGUGUUUCCUUGUCUCCACCUCCAGAUUGGUACUGUUGGUGUCAGGAUGGGGCAGCAGAGCUGGGCCCUUUCAGGACUUUGUGAAGCUGGGAGAAGCCUUUGGGCCCAAAGCAGGGCUCCCCUGGGCACCAUCUCUGCCGAAAAAUCUCUGCCUAGCGUGUCAGCUCCUCGCUCUGGAGGUAUGUUCUCACUUUUCCUGUGACCUCAGUUUCUACCCCAGGCUUUAGAAACAGGGUGAACACACCCAAUACUGGAGAGCCCGGGGGUUCUUCACACUGUACUUCAAGUGUGAGUGUGCUGAGUCGCUUUAGUUGCAUCCAACUCUUUGUGACCCCAUGGACUGUAGCCCACCAAACUCCUCUGUCCAUGGAGUGGAGUUCUCCAGGCAAGAAUACUGGAGUGGGUUGCCAUGCCCUCCUCCAGGGGAUCUUCCUGACCCAGGGAUCGAACUCAUGUCUCUUAUGUCUCCUGCAUUGGCAGGUGGGUUCUUUACCACUAGCGCCAACUGGGAAGUCCCACACUUUGAGGGGAUGGGUCUUUACUGUGUUCACAGACAACACCCUAAUAAUUCCUCAACACUAAAAACAGUGAACUAGCCCAACAAGUUAAUAAAUCAGUUUGAUAGGCCA
rnacentral:lncRNA from 1 species